CACUUAUACCGUGAAACUGCGAAUGGCUCAUUAUAUCAGUUAUAGUUUAUUUGAUAGUCCCUACUACUUGGAUAACCGUAGUAAUUCUAGAGCUAAUACAUGCACAAGGCCUGACCGCAAGGGAGGGCUGCAUUUAUUAGAUACAACCAACCCCUUCGGGGUCCCUGGUGAAUCAUAAUAACUUAGCGAACCGCAUGCGAAAGCGGCGGUAGUUCAUUCAAGUUUCUGCCCUAUCAGCUUUCGAUGGUAGGGUAUUGGCCUACCAUGGCGUUAACGGGUAACGGAGAAUUAGGGUUCGAUUCCGGAGAGGGAGCCUGAGAGAUGGCUACCACAUCCAAGGAAGGCAGCAGGCGCGUAAAUUACCCAAUCCUGAUACAGGGAGGUAGUGACAAGAAAUAACAAUGCGGAGCCUUCGGGUUCUGCAAUUGGAAUGAGUACAAUUU
rnacentral:rRNA from 1 species